rnacentral:lncRNA from 10 species
CUGAUAUUGAGCAGCACGAUAGAGUUAGACUCCUGAGCUGCAACUUCUGGGUCAAAAGUUGAUGCUAUUUCAGGGUAGUAAGCACAGCAUCCCUGUUGCCAGGAGGAAAUGUAUUUUCAGCUCUGCUCUCAUUAGGUGGUUUUUUGUCCUCUUCAAAUAUGAGGAAAAUAAAAUCCUCUUCAUCACCUCAACACAGUGGGGACUCAAAGUGCAUACUCCCCAAGGGACACAGAGGGCUCAGAAUAGAGACAAAUGGGGAUGACAUUUUGCAGGUAUAUUGGAGAACAGUGAAGACAACCACUUUAGCAGAGUAACUUUUUUUUUUUUUUUUGAGAUGGAGUCUUGCUCUGUCACCCAGGCUGGAGUACAGCAGUGUGAUCUCAGCUCACUGCAACCUCUGUCUCCUGGGUUCAAGCGAGACAGCCACCUGAGUAGCUGGAAUUAAAGGACCGCUUAAGUUUUGCAUUUUUAUUAGAGACAGGGUUUCGCCAUGUUGGACAGGCUGGUCUCGAACUCCUGGCCUCAAGUGAUCCACUGGCCUCGGCCUCCCAAAGUGCUGGGAUUACAGGCGUGAGCCACUGCGCCCAGCCCAGAGUAACUAUUAAGAGUGGAUAUUAAAUGGAACAUUGCACAAGCUCAUGAGCAGAUAGUAAGAAUGCCAACUCUGCUAGAAGGUAGUGACCUGUAAAACCUGUAAAACCAUGAACAGUGUGUGGCUUUCAACAGAAGAGAUGCCACAGUUGGAUAAAGAUAGAGACAGAGAAAUUGUAUCUGGAUUAAACUGAAAUAGUGAUGAUUUUCUGAAUCAUCCUUGAUUAAGGAUUUUCACCAAAGACUUAUUGAGGAAUACUGUAAAUUAAUAUGAUAAUUUAUCUGCAUGUAUGCCAUUUAUUGUUUGUAUUCUGUAUAUAAUUAUGAUUCAUUAACUAUAUAGUAAAAUGUAUUAGGUGGAUGCAAAAGUAAUUGCGG